rnacentral:rRNA from 1 species
UACGUAGGGGGUGAGCGUUGUCCGGAAUGACUGGGCGUAAAGGGUGCGUAGGCGGCCCGAGAGGUCCUGGGUGAAAGGCCCCGGCUCAACCUGGGAAUGGCAGUGGAUACUGGCAAGCUAGAGUGUGUCAGAGGAUGGCGGAAUUCCCGGUGUAGCGGUGAAAUGCGUAGAGAUCGGGAGGAACAUCAGUGGCGAAGGCGGCCAUCUGGGACAACACUGACGCUGAGGCACGAAAGCGUGGGGAGCAAACAGG